ensembl:lncRNA novel transcript
GGUCGCCGGCCGAUGCUCUCUGCGACGGAAAGAAAGCCGCCGGACCCACUUCCGGUGCGUUUUACAAUGAACUCCGGGCACUCGAGUCGCUCCCCGGAAACUAUAGUUCUGCUUCCACCGUUGUCCUACUUUGGAUGUGAGUUGGAAGCAUCAAGACAAAAAUCUCAGUCUUCGAGGAACUCACAGUGUAGCAGAAAAGACAAAGGAGGUAAACAGGAGGAGCAUGAAUAAUUCAUCUUGAUGUAAUCAUGCAAGACUCCUAAGAAGAUGUUAGGAGACCCUGUCAUCAUUCUUUUGGCCUCUAGUGUCCUUUAUCUUCAUGUUUGCUGGCUUCCUUUUACUACUAUGGAAAUACAACAUAUGCAAAAGUAGUGUUUUCACUGUUUAAAAACAUCGUCAGCAGCAUCAUCAUCAUUAACUGCACCAGGAAGCCAUGACUCCUUUCUGGACAAGGUGCACUUGCCUGUCAUCCUUCCAUCUCUUUCUUCCUCCUUGAAGUUCACAAUACCCAGUCCAGGAGCAUUGCAGAGAAUGCUAGGUGUGUCUGCAGACUUGACUUUAAAAGAAAACAAGUUCCUUCAAGUGAGUUCAUCAUGAUGGGAAUGAUAAUUUGUUUGAGAGAAUGUGUGUUCUUUGGCAAAGGAACUCCUGUUAUACCAUGACAGUAAUAAUAGCAGUAAUAAAAUCACCAAUAAUAAAUUU